rnacentral:lncRNA from 1 species
UCUUUGAGGAACCAGGAUUGCAUCUAAAUUUUUUUUAUAAAUCUAUAUGAAUAAAGAUCAAAUUUUUAUCUAGACAGUAGUAGAAUAAGAGAUCUAAAAUUAAUCUUUAUGGAGGUUUGAAAGUACAGACCCUCUACUUCGCAUGCACGCCAGACAACAUAUGAAAGCGGGAUGAACUCCAAUCAAAUCAUCUUUGCAACCCAAACAAAAGAAGAAGGAGAGGUGCUGGUGCCUCACACCAGCAAGGGGGACACCGAAGGAUGGGCCCAUGGCAAGGGAUGAGGGGGUGGCACGAUAGAGAGCACACCAAGGGUGGAACGCCC